AUUGAACGCUGGCGGCAGGCUUAACACAUGCAAGUCGAACGAGUGGCGGACGAGUGAGUAAUGUCUGGGAAACUGCCUGAUGGAGGGGGAUAACUACUGGAAACGGUCGCUAUUACCGCAUACCAUCGGAUGUGCCCAGAGGGGAUUGGCUAGUAGGUGGGGUAAAGGCUCACGUAGGCCACGAUCCCUAGCUGGUCUGAGAGGAUGACCGGGCACACUGGAACUGGGACACGGGCCAAACGCCUACGGGAGGAAGCAGUGGGGAAUAUGGCACAAUGGGCGAAAGCCUGAUGCAGCCAUGCCGCGGUGAUGAGGAGGGCCUUCGGGUUGUAAAGUACUUUCAGCGGGGAGGCGUUACCCGCAGAAGAAGCACCGGCUAACUCCGUGCCAGCAGCCGCGGUAAUAC
rnacentral:rRNA from 1 species